UUUAUUGCAGCCUUCAGUUUGCAAGACCUGAGUUUGGGAGGUGAUUAGUUCAUAAGAUUCCCAUAAGUUGAUCUUGACUUGAUGGCAUACAGCAAGGAAAUGUGGUCUUCUAAGUAUUCCUGGACUGCAUCUCCCACACUCUCUAUGGCUGUGCUCGUUAGGACCGACGGAAAUUGCACAUUAGCAACAUCUGGAGAGCCACCUGAUUCCCAGACCCAAACUGAAUCAAGAUGAGGUAUUCGAGAUUUUUGGCUGGAAAUCCGAAACGGCCUCAGAAACACCUCUAACCUAAACACAGCAACGAUACGGGCUACUUUGUGUUCUAAGUUCGCCUAGAGAUGCUGCCGUCGUUGCCGGCCUCUUUAUGAGUGGCGUUGGCUCGGUCGUUCCGGCGGGAGGAGGAGAGCCAUUUGACGCCGUUGCUGAGGGAUAUCAGUCAACAACUCUCACAAGCCACAGCGAAAGGGGGCUGGCCGGUUUUUUUCCUUUUCCUGGCCUUGCCUACCGUGGGUGCUUUUACGACCAAGGAGUGUCCAAACGGAAAGCCACUAUUAGUCCGUGGGUUGCAGAAGGAGAGGACAGCCUUACCUGGACCCAGUGGCAGAAAAGGUGGCAAAAGAGAUUCAUCCUCAAAGCUUCAGUGCCUCGUCUGGAAGUUGGAGUGUACUGCAGUGGUAUUUGCGGCAAAAGAUGGAUUGUUAGGUCAGAUGGGCAAGAAAGAGUACUUCUGCCAACAUAGAAACCAAACUAUUGUAAGUUUGCAUAAAGGAAUACAAUGAGGUGUAUCAACAGACAUUCCCAAGGCAGUGCAUAGAUCUGCGAGUAUUUGUUAUACUGGCAAGUCUGGUACGAAAGUUCAUUUAUAUUGAUUUAAAGAUUUUUCUUCCAGGUAUCCUUAUAAAAGUAAGGAAAUGAUUGAACUCAAGAAGUAAGCAUUAUCCUCUGAAGCCAUCUGAGGCUAAACAUAAUAUUCCAUUAUGCCUACCGUACAAUUCAGUAUAAGCCAAAGAAUUGAAAUGAAUUUUGAUACUGUCACAGAAUACCUGAAAUCUUAUUUUUUGUUUAACAAGUAAGCUUCAGGUCUUUAUGUAAAGUGUUCAUAGGAUUGGGAAUGGAUGCUGUAAAGUGAGAAAGGGCUGGUUUGCAGUAGUCAAAAAGAAAGGGCUCCAUAGCUCUUUAAAGUAAAAUAAUUUAUAUAAAACACAUUGGUAAAUUUAAAUUAUGCAACCCUUGACUAUAGCCUUAAUCAGUGUGGACUUCAUAUUGCCCUAAUGCCUAGUUUAGACUUUUGAGCAGACAUAGCCUAUCAGAUGCCCAAAACAGGAAAAAAAGGGGCAACGAGAGAGCCUGGACAAGCCAAACAGCAUUGCCCUCAGCUCCUCAAGCUUGAAGAAGGUGGUUUCUAAGGCAAAUAUCAGUCCUGGCUAGGUACUGAUACUUCUUGGUUGGAGGCGUCCAGACCUUACAGGGAGUCUCUGAGAGUCAAGGAAACAAGCCAACCACACCUACUGGUUUUUUUUAAUCUUAGGCAAGAACCAGUGGCAGAAAGUGAAGAGGUAUGCAAAAUGUUGGAUGCAGUACUAAUCAGCCCACUCAAUAUUUCUGGGAAGAUAGGUUUAUUACAGUUCAUUUUAAGUGGGAUUUAUUAAAAUGUGAAGAGAAAAGAAAACAGACUGCAGAAAGGGCAACAGCUUUUUUUUUUAAAGUACAGUUUCUAUUCUGUAUAUACCAAACUAUGU
rnacentral:lncRNA from 1 species